AAGACUUAGUCUCCUUAAUGGGCUAGUCUUACAAGUGUAUCCAGUCUGCUGUGCGGCUGGGUCUAGCUUGGAAUACAGCUCAGCAAAAACACCAUAAACGGUUUCAGUGCAGUAGGAGAUGUUUUGUAACUCGACUGCUUGCUUCUCAAGGUUAAGUACGUCUGUCAGAGGCUGGCUUUGCUUCAGAGCCAUUUGCCUAAGAUGGGCAUUGUGUCUGAGAACAGCAUCAGCAAUAACCAUGAUAUAAAAGCUUAAAAACCAAGUUCCAAGGGAAGAGAAUGACAUAUAUGCAGAGAUCAACUUUUAAUUUAUAUUUUUAAAAGAAUGUAUUGAGUCAAGAGGAGAAUUCAACAGCACAGUCACAGGGAAGACCACUGCUAACGUGGUUACUUCAGCCUCAGAAAAGUUAGAGAUUAAUAUUUUGGCAAGAACCAUGUCUUUGGAGAUACUAAAAGAAAUGACCACAAAGAUAGCAAGAAUAGCCACAAAAAGCAGUAACUCACGUUGCUUUGGAAGCCUUCCUCAGGGAUGAGCUAGCACGGGCAUCAGAGGAUCGGGAAGAAGGAAUAACUACGGAAGGGGGAAAGUCACUCCCAUUAAUCAAUGGCCAAGGCCACUGUGUUCAGUCACCAGUGUAAACGAGGGGCAAGACAAUCACAUGUAAGAGGGACAGUCGCAGUCACUGGUGUUCACUCCUAUGUGCUUGUGCGCCCUCUCUCCUGCCUGUGUAAAUCAUCCAGAGGCUAACCAUUUCACAUCUGAUAACAGAUUGCUCUACUCUUCCCUGGGGACAGCGAUUUCUCCUGCUCUCAAUGUUCCUUAUUUCCCUAUAGUUCUCUGUCUUGGGCAGGAAGCUGAAGCAACUUCAACUUCCUUCAAUUGAUGAAUGGAAAAUGAAGAUGUGGUAAAUAUACACUAUAUAACCCUAUUAAACUGUAAGAAAAAAAUGAAAUAUGCACGUAAAUGGAUGGAACUAGAAAAUAUCAUAUUUAGUGAGAUAACCCAUACCCAGAAAUAUAAAUGCCCAAUGUUCUGUCUUUGGAGGCUCUUAAUUCCAAAUCUUCAGAUGAUUUGGAAAAAAACAAGUUUGUUUUUGAAGCAAGCUCUCAUUAUGCAAAGACCUAGCUGGCCUGAAACUUUCAGGUUGGCCUCAAACACACAAAGAUCUGCCUGCCUCUGCCUCCCAAAUAGGAUUAAAGGCACAUUCUACCACGUCUAGCUUGUCUUAGUUUUAAAAGCCUCUUGGUUCUAAUAUCAUUGAAUUUAUCACAAAACCAUUGUGCAACAAAGAAACAUCUCUGUGUAUAUUAGAGUUGCUAAUAUUCUUCCCAGGGUAAAUUGAAAACUGAGAAAACUAUAGCAGCAAGACAACGGAUAAGAGGGACCAAGGAAAAACAAAUACCUCACCUCUGUCUUUCCUCAACCUCGGCCUCCCACUAACCAGUUUGUAUUGUUUCCAUUCACAUUU